rnacentral:rRNA from 1 species
AUGUCGGGCGCGGCGGCGGCGGUGGCGCGAGUGCUGCCGAAGGCAGUGACCUUCGUGACGGGCAACGCCAAGAAGCUGGAGGAAGUCCGCGCGAUUCUCGGCUCCUCCAUCCCCUUCCAGUCCCUCAAACUCGACCUGCCCGAGUUGCAAGGUGAGCCAGAGGACAUAUCUAAAGAGAAGGCCCGAAUGGCUGCAUCUCAGGUGAAUGGUCCUGUACUUGUUGAGGACACCUGUCUAUGUUUCAAUGCGCUCAAAGGUUUGCCAGGGCCCUAUAUAAAAUGGUUUCUAGAGAAGAUUGGGCAUGAAGGUUUGAACAAUCUGCUAAAAGCUUAUGAAGACAAAUCAGCUUUUGCUAUGUGCAUCUUUUCCCUUGCUCUUGGACCAGAAGAGGAACCGAUCACAUUUGUUGGAAAAACAGCAGGGAAAAUUGUACCUGCCAGAGGCCCUGCUGAUUUUGGAUGGGACCCUGUAUUCCAACCAGAUGGAUUUGAACAAACGUAUGCUGAGAUGCCCAAGCCUGAAAAGAAUCAAAUAUCUCAUAGGGGGAGAGCUCUUGCACUGGUGAAAGAACAUUUUGCUUCUGCCAAUUAUGAAGUUCAGGGUGACGGAUUGGCUUAA